ACGGGAGGCAGCAGUGGGGAAUAUUGGGCAAUGGGCGAAAGCCUGACCUAGCAAUGCCGCGUGAAGGAAGAAGGUCUUCGGAUUGUAAACUUCUUUUAUGAGGGACGAAGGAUUUGACGGUACCUCAUGAAUAAGCCACGGCUAACUACGUGCCAGCAGCCGCGGUAAUACGUAGGUGGCAAGCGUUAUCCGGAUUUACUGGGUGUAAAGGGCGCGUAGGCGGGGAAGCAAGUCAGAUGUGAAAUCCAUGGGCUCAACUCAUGAACUGCAUUUGAAACUGUUUCUCUUGAGUGCUGGAGAGGUAGAUGGAAUUCCUAGUGUAGCGGUGAAAUGCGUAGAUAUUAGGAAGAACACCAGUGGCGAAGGCGAUCUACUGGACAGUAACUGACGCUGAGGCGCGAAAGCGUGGGGAGCAAACAGGAUUAGAUACCCUGGUA
rnacentral:rRNA from 1 species